rnacentral:rRNA from 1 species
UUGAAAUUCCGUAGCCACCUUAUCGAUUAAAAGCUGACACAUGGAGAUAGCGGGACCCGGGCGUUGGUUGACCCGGGCGAAAGGGACCGUAAUCAAGUAGGGAAGUCCGCGAUGCUCUGUGGCGAGAAAAGGCGAAGGUAAGGUGCCCGUACCGCAAACCGACACAGGUAGAUGAGGAGAGAAUCCUAAGGCCAACGGGAAAAAGGUUGUUAAGGAACUCGGCAAAAUUGCCCCGUAACUUCGGGAGAAGGGGCGCCUCCGAAAGGAGGCCGCAGUGAAAAGGCCCAAGCGACUGUUUACCAAAAACACAGGUCUCUGCUAAAUCAAAAGAUGACGUAUAGGGGCUGACGCCUGCCCGGUGCUGGAAGGUUAAGAGGAGAGCUUAGCGCAAGCGAAGGCUUGAAUUUAAGCCCCAGUAAACGGCGGCCGUAACAAUAACGGUCCUAAGGUAGCGAAAUUCCUUGUCAGGUAAGUUCUGACCCGCACGAAUGGCGUAACGAUUUGGGCGCUGUCUCAACAGCCUACCCGGCGAAAUUGUAGUACCGGUGAAGAUGCCGGUUACCCGCAACUAGACGGAAAGACCCCAUGGAGCUUUACUGCAGCUUAAUACUGAGAUUCGGUAAUUCAUGUACAGGAUAGGUGGGAGACUUGGAAACAGGGGCGUCAGCUUCUGCGGAGUCACCCUUGGGAUACCACCCUUGGAUUGCUGGGUUUCUAACCUGCGGCCAUGAAUCUGGUCGGGGGGACACUGUUAGGCGGGCAGUUUGACUGGGGCGGUCGCCUCCUAAAAAGUAGCGGAGGCGCUCAAAGCUUGGCUCAGCAUGGAUGGAAAUCAUGCAAUGAGUGUAAACGUAUAAGCCAAGUUGACUGCGAGACCGACGGGUCGAGCAGGGACGAAAGUCGGAGUUAGUGAUCCGGUGGUAUGUGAGUGGAAAUGCCAUCGCUCAACGGAUAAAAGCUACCCUGGGAUAACAGGCUGAUCUCCCCCAAGCGUCCACAGCGACGGGGAGGUUUGGCACCUCGAUGUCGGCUCGUCGCAUCCUGGGGCUGUAUUCGGUCCCAAGGGUUUGGCUGUUCGCCAAUUAAAGCGGCACGCGAGCUGGGUUCAGAACGUCGUGAGACAGUUCGGUCCCUAUCUGUUGCGGGCGUAAGAGAUUUGAAGGGAGCUGUCCUUAGUACGAGAGGACCGGGAUGGACUGACCUCUGGUGCACCAGUUGUUCUGCCAAGGGCAUAGCUGGGUAGCUACGUCGGGACGAGAUAAACGCUGAAGGCAUCUAAGCGUGAAACUCCCCCUAAGAUAAGAUCUCUCAUCCCGAAAAGGAGUAAGGCUCGUCGUAGACUAUGACGUUGAUAGGUCAGGGGUGGAAGCACAGUAAUGUGUGCAGCUGACUGAUACUAAUAAGCCGAGGGCUAGACC